GUUCUUUGCAGAUCCUCUCACUGCUACCCAGCACUCCUGACCUGUGGUGCAGAGGAGCCCAUCUGUGUCCUCUAGCUAAGAAAGAAGUGGUAUUGAUAUGACUGCCCAUUGGAAGCAAACAGUAACAUGAGCAGCAACCCACAUAAGAGGAAGUUGAACACGUAGGACUUCUUAUAGUUGCUCCUGGAGAACUUCAGUGUCUUUGUGUGACUCCUCAUUUCUGUUGUUCGGGCACUUGAUGAAGGCAGAGGUCUGCA